rnacentral:rRNA from 1 species
CUGGCUCAGGGUGAACGCUGGCGGCGUGCCUAACACAUGCAAGUCGAGCGGUGCGGCUGGAAGCUUUGGCGGAAGGCUGCAUAGCGGCGGACGGGUGCGUAACACGUAGGAACGUGCCCCCUGGAGGCGGAUAGCCGUGGGAAACUGCGGGUAAACCGCCGUAGACUCGGGAGAGUAAAGGCCGAAAGGUGCCAGGGGAGCGGCCUGCGGCCCAUCAGGUAGUUGGUAGGGUAACGGCCUACCAAGCCGACGACGGGUAGCCGGUCUGAGAGGAUGGCCGGCCACAAGGGCACUGAGACACGGGCCCUACUCCUACGGGAGGCAGCAGUGGGGGAUUUUGGACAAUGGGCGAAAGCCUGAUCCAGCGACGCCGCGUGGAGGACGAAGCCCUUCGGGGUGUAAACUCCUUUUCUCAGGGAAAAAAGC